rnacentral:rRNA from 1 species
UACGUAGGGUGCGAGCGUUGUCCGGAAUUAUUGGGCGUAAAGAGCUCGUAGGCGGUUUGUCGCGUCGACUGUGAAAACCCGAGGCUUAACCUCGGGCCUGCAGUCGAUACGGGCAGACUAGAGUUCGGUAGGGGAGACUGGAAUUCCUGGUGUAGCGGUGAAAUGCGCAGAUAUCAGGAGGAACACCGGUGGCGAAGGCGGCAUCCUGGACCGGUAUUGACGCUGAGGCGCGAAAGCCAGGGGAGCAAACGGG